rnacentral:rRNA from 1 species
CCAGCAGCCGCGGUAAUUCCAGCUCCAAUAGCGUAUAUUAAAGUUGUUGCAGUUAAAAAGCUCGUAGUUGGAUUUGUGGCUGUCGCAUGCGGCCUGACACUUGGUGUUGGUGUCUGCUUGCGUCGCCAUCCUUGGGUGGAACCUGUGUGGCAUUAGGUUGUCGUGCAGGGGAUGCCCAUCGUUUACUGUGAAAAAAUUAGAGUGUUCAAAGCAGGCUUAUGCCGUUGAAUAUAUUAGCAUGGAAUAAUAAGAUAGGACCUUGGUACUAUUUUGUUGGUUUGCGCACCAAGGUAAUGAUUAAUAGGGACAGUUGGGGGUAUUCGUAUUCCAUUGUCAGAGGUGAAAUUCUUGGAUUUUUGGAAGACGAACUACUGCGAAAGCAUUUACCAAGGAUGUUUUCAUUAAUCAAGAACGAAAGU